rnacentral:rRNA from 1 species
UACGUAGGCAGCGAGCGUUGUUCGGAAUUACUGGGCGUAAAGAGUGUGUAGGCGGUGCUCUAAGUUCGGUGUGAAAUCUCCCGGCUUAACUGGGAGGGUGCGCCGGAAACUGGAGUGCCGGAGAGGAUAGCGGAAUUCCUGGUGUAGCGGUGAAAUGCGCAGAUAUCAGGAGGAACACCGGUGGCGAAGGCGGGUCUCUGGGCAACAACUGACGCUGAGGAGCGAAAGCGUGGGGAGCGAACAGG